rnacentral:rRNA from 1 species
UUAAGCGACUAAGCGUACACGGUGGAUGCCCUGGCAGUCAGAGGCGAUGAAGGACGUGCUAAUCUGCGAUAAGCGUCGGUAAGGUGAUAUGAACCGUUAUAACCGGCGAUUUCCGAAUGGGGAAACCCAGUGUGUUUCGACACACUAUCAUUAACUGAAUCCAUAGGUUAAUGAGGCGAACCGGGGGAACUGAAACAUCUAAGUACCCCGAGGAAAAGAAAUCAACCGAGAUUCCCCCAGUAGCGGCGAGCGAACGGGGAGCAGCCCAGAGCCUGAAUCAGUGUGUGUGUUAGUGGAAGCGUCUGGAAAGGCGCGCGAUACAGGGUGACAGCCCCGUACACAAAAAUGCACAUGCUGUGAGCUCGAUGAGUAGGGCGGGACACGUGGUAUCCUGUCUGAAUAUGGGGGGACCAUCCUCCAAGGCUAAAUACUCCUGACUGACCGAUAGUGAACCAGUACCGUGAGGGAAAGGCGAAAAGAACCCCGGCGAGGGGAGUGAAAAAGAACCUGAAACCGUGUACGUACAAGCAGUGGGAGCACGCUUAGGCGUGUGACUGCGUACCUUUUGUAUAAUGGGUCAGCGACUUAUAUUCUGUAGCAAGGUUAACCGAAUAGGGGAGCCGAAGGGAAACCGAGUCUUAACUGGGCGUUAAGUUGCAGGGUAUAGACCCGAAACCCGGUGAUCUAGCCAUGGGCAGGUUGAAGGUUGGGUAACACUAACUGGAGGACCGAACCGACUAAUGUUGAAAAAUUAGCGGAUGACUUGUGGCUGGGGGUGAAAGGCCAAUCAAACCGGGAGAUAGCUGGUUCUCCCCGAAAGCUAUUUAGGUAGCGCCUCGUGAAUUCAUCUCCGGGGGUAGAGCACUGUUUCGGCAAGGGGGUCAUCCCGACUUACCAACCCGAUGCAAACUGCGAAUACCGGAGAAUGUUAUCACGGGAGACACACGGCGGGUGCUAACGUCCGUCGUGAAGAGGGAAACAACCCAGACCGCCAGCUAAGGUCCCAAAGUCAUGGUUAAGUGGGAAACGAUGUGGGAAGGCCCAGACAGCCAGGAUGUUGGCUUAGAAGCAGCCAUCAUUUAAAGAAAGCGUAAUAGCUCACUGGUCGAGUCGGCCUGCGCGGAAGAUGUAACGGGGCUAAACCAUGCACCGAAGCUGCGGCAGCGACGCUGAUGCGUUGUUGGGUAGGGGAGCGUUCUGUAAGCCUGCGAAGGUGUGCUGUGAGGCAUGCUGGAGGUAUCAGAAGUGCGAAUGCUGACAUAAGUAACGAUAAAGCGGGUGAAAAGCCCGCUCGCCGGAAGACCAAGGGUUCCUGUCCAACGUUAAUCGGGGCAGGGUGAGUCGACCCCUAAGGCGAGGCCGAAAGGCGUAGUCGAUGGGAAACAGGUUAAUAUUCCUGUACUUGGUGUUACUGCGAAGGGGGGACGGAGAAGGCUAUGUUGGCCGGGCGACGGUUGUCCCGGUUUAAGCGUGUAGGCUGGUUUUCCAGGCAAAUCCGGAAAAUCAAGGCUGAGGCGUGAUGACGAGGCACUACGGUGCUGAAGCAACAAAUGCCCUGCUUCCAGGAAAAGCCUCUAAGCAUCAGGUAACAUCAAAUCGUACCCCAAACCGACACAGGUGGUCAGGUAGAGAAUACCAAGGCGCUUGAGAGAACUCGGGUGAAGGAACUAGGCAAAAUGGUGCCGUAACUUCGGGAGAAGGCACGCUGAUAUGUAGGUGAAGUCCCUCGCGGAUGGAGCUGAAAUCAGUCGAAGAUACCAGCUGGCUGCAACUGUUUAUUAAAAACACAGCACUGUGCAAACACGAAAGUGGACGUAUACGGUGUGACGCCUGCCCGGUGCCGGAAGGUUAAUUGAUGGGGUUAGCCGCAAGGCGAAGCUCUUGAUCGAAGCCCCGGUAAACGGCGGCCGUAACUAUAACGGUCCUAAGGUAGCGAAAUUCCUUGUCGGGUAAGUUCCGACCUGCACGAAUGGCGUAAUGAUGGCCAGGCUGUCUCCACCCGAGACUCAGUGAAAUUGAACUCGCUGUGAAGAUGCAGUGUACCCGCGGCAAGACGGAAAGACCCCGUGAACCUUUACUAUAGCUUGACACUGAACAUUGAGCCUUGAUGUGUAGGAUAGGUGGGAGGCUUUGAAGUGUGGACGCCAGUCUGCAUGGAGCCGACCUUGAAAUACCACCCUUUAAUGUUUGAUGUUCUAACGUUGACCCGUAAUCCGGGUUGCGGACAGUGUCUGGUGGGUAGUUUGACUGGGGCGGUCUCCUCCUAAAGAGUAACGGAGGAGCACGAAGGUUGGCUAAUCCUGGUCGGACAUCAGGAGGUUAGUGCAAUGGCAUAAGCCAGCUUGACUGCGAGCGUGACGGCGCGAGCAGGUGCGAAAGCAGGUCAUAGUGAUCCGGUGGUUCUGAAUGGAAGGGCCAUCGCUCAACGGAUAAAAGGUACUCCGGGGAUAACAGGCUGAUACCGCCCAAGAGUUCAUAUCGACGGCGGUGUUUGGCACCUCGAUGUCGGCUCAUCACAUCCUGGGGCUGAAGUAGGUCCCAAGGGUAUGGCUGUUCGCCAUUUAAAGUGGUACGCGAGCUGGGUUUAGAACGUCGUGAGACAGUUCGGUCCCUAUCUGCCGUGGGCGCUGGAGAACUGAGGGGGGCUGCUCCUAGUACGAGAGGACCGGAGUGGACGCAUCACUGGUGUUCGGGUUGUCAUGCCAAUGGCACUGCCCGGUAGCUAAAUGCGGAAGAGAUAAGUGCUGAAAGCAUCUAAGCACGAAACUUGCCCCGAGAUGAGUUCUCCCUGACUCCUUGAGAGUCCUGAAGGAACGUUGAAGACGACGACGUUGAUAGGCCGGGUGUGUAAGCGCAGCGAUGCGUUGAGCUAACCGGUACUAAUGAACCGUGAGGCUUAACCU